AUCCAUCGAGCAAGAUGGCAUCUUGAGGAAGAGACGACCCUCAAGUGUCUUUGUACAUAUUUAUGUGUUUAUGCGCUAUACAAAAGAACGAAGCGAUGAAAAUGGACGUUGAAUUUUAUCGUGACUUCCCAGGACGAGAGAAAGACGGCGUCUGUUAAAUAUUAUUGAGCGAAUUAUGUUAUAAAUCAACCUUGGAAGCGGAACAAUUUCUGACUUCCCUGGAAUAAGAUGACCUGCCGAUUCCUCAAGACUCCUGUGGUAACUAUAUUCCACUCAAAAUUAAAAGCACCCAUGACGAGGUGGGCGUCCUCCCUGGAGAGGGUCAUAUUUUCGGCGAUGAAGAAGUUGCCAAAAUUCGAAUGAACGUAUCCGAUGCUUGGCUGGCCAGCCCAGGUGAGAGUUGCACUGG